rnacentral:tRNA from 1 species
GCCUUCGUUGUGUAAUUGGAAGCAUACUCGUCUGGUAUUCGAGAUGUCCAGACUUCGAGUCCUGGCGAGGGCA